rnacentral:rRNA from 1 species
GUAACAAGGUUUCCGUAGGUGAACCUGCGGAAGGAUCAUUGCACACACAAAGUUGCAGCCAACCCGCGGCGAACGAACACAUUGUCCCCCCUUCGGCGGGUCGUGGCGCCUCGCGGCGUCGCGGCGCGCCGUCUCCCCUCGUCACGCGAGCGCGAGCUUCGUGGCGUCGGGUUUCACACGAUGCAUCACCCGAAUGGCUGAGUCCCGAAUAUACUUGGAUGGAGGAGUGGGUGCGUUGCGCUCCCUCGAGCUCGCUCGCUCGCUUGCGAACUCGAGGUGUGCGUGGCGCGCCGGUUACCUUACGACGAGUUGAAACAUAACCAAAAACAACUCUCAGCAACGGAUAUCUUGGCUCUUGCAACGAUGAAGAACGCAGCGAAAUGCGAUACGUAGUGUGAAUUGCAGAAUUCCGCGAAUCAUCGAGUCUUUGAACGCAAGUUGCGCCCGAGGCUUGUCCGAGGGCAUUUCCGCUAGAGCGUCACCGCGCCCCCCACCGAUCCGCUCCCGCCGCGAGGCGCCAGUCGGGUUGAGUGCAAGUGGCCGUCCCGGCGAAGUGGCCUUCUUUCACGAGGAGUCCGUACUUGGAAGGGUCGGCUGAGAUGGAUGGAAUUGGGCCGCCGUGGUGACACAGUCCGCGAUCGGGUGAUUUUGUCGCGAGCCUCCCCCGGGAGGCUCUUGGUGAAUUUUUCUAAGUGCUUGGCUGCGUCCCCCAGUUGGCUCGGGUUACCUCAUGCAGGUCGAGCGCGCCCCCGCGGCGCGCGUCACGCAUCAGACCUCUAAUCGGAAAAGACUACCCGCUGAGUUUAAAGCAUAUCACUAAAGCGGAGGAA